GCCCGGCUAGCUCAGUCGGUAGAGCAUGAGACUCUUAAUGUCAGGGUCGUGGGUUCAAACCCCACGUUGGGCG
rfam:Danio rerio chromosome 4, GRCz11 reference primary assembly.